rnacentral:rRNA from 1 species
GAGUUUGAUCAUGGCUCAGGACGAACGCUGGCGGCGUGCCUAAUACAUGCAAGUAGAACGCUGAAGAGAGGAGCUUGCUCUUCUUGGAUGAGUUGCGAACGGGUGAGUAACGCGUAGGUAACCUGCCUUGUAGCGGGGGAUAACUAUUGGAAACGAUAGCUAAUACCGCAUAACAAUAGGUGACACAUGUCAUUUAUUUGAAAGGGGCAAUUGCUCCACUACAAGAUGGACCUGCGUUGUAUUAGCUAGUAGGUGAGGUAACGGCUCACCUAGGCGACGAUACAUAGCCGACCUGAGAGGGUGAUCGGCCACACUGGGACUGAGACACGGCCCAGACUCCUACGGGAGGCAGCAGUAGGGAAUCUUCGGCAAUGGGGGCAACCCUGACCGAGCAACGCCGCGUGAGUGAAGAAGGUUUCCGGAUCGUAAAGCUCUGUUGUAAGUCAAGAACGAGUGUGAGAGUGGAAAGUUCACACUGUGACGGUAGCUUACCAGAAAGGGACGGCUAACUACGUGCCAGCAGCCGCGGUAAUACGUAGGUCCCGAGCGUUGUCCGGAUUUAUUGGGCGCAAAGCGAGCGCAGGCGGUUUGAUAAGUCUGAAGUUAAAGGCUGUGGCUCAACCAUAGUUCGCUUUGGAAACUGUCAAACUUGAGUGCAGAAGGGGAGAGUGGAAUUCCAUGUGUAGCGGUGAAAUGCGUAGAUAUAUGGAGGAACACCGGUGGCGAAAGCGGCUCUCUGGUCUGUAACUGACGCUGAGGCUCGAAAGCGUGGGGAGCGAACAGGAUUAGAUACCCUGGUAGUCCACGCCGUAAACGAUGAGUGCUAGGUGUUGGAUCCUUUCCGGGAUUCAGUGCCGCAGCUAACGCAUUAAGCACUCCGCCUGGGGAGUACGACCGCAAGGUUGAAACUCAAAGGAAUUGACGGGGGCCCGCACAAGCGGUGGAGCAUGUGGUUUAAUUCGAAGCAACGCGAAGAACCUUACCAGGUCUUGACAUCCCGAUGCUAUUUCUAGAGAUAGAAAGUUACUUCGGUACAUCGGUGACAGGUGGUGCAUGGUUGUCGUCAGCUCGUGUCGUGAGAUGUUGGGUUAAGUCCCGCAACGAGCGCAACCCCUAUUGUUAGUUGCCAUCAUUCAGUUGGGCACUCUAGCGAGACUGCCGGUAAUAAACCGGAGGAAGGUGGGGAUGACGUCAAAUCAUCAUGCCCCUUAUGACCUGGGCUACACACGUGCUACAAUGGUUGGUACAACGAGUUGCGAGUCGGUGACGGCAAGCUAAUCUCUUAAAGCCAAUCUCAGUUCGGAUUGUAGGCUGCAACUCGCCUACAUGAAGUCGGAAUCGCUAGUAAUCGCGGAUCAGCACGCCGCGGUGAAUACGUUCCCGGGCCUUGUACACACCGCCCGUC